AGUAGCAGUCCCUAUAUUCCAGAACAAUGUAGCUAGCGUGGGUUAUGAGGAGUCACCCAUCAGUUUAGCCUUGAAUACCUCCUAGGGGUCACCCAUCAGUUUAGGCUUGACUCUGCCCAGGGAUCACCUGUCAGUGUAGGCUUGAUAUCCUAGUUCUUCAGUAGCUUAGUGAGUCCACACAACCAUUGUUACUACCUUUGGUCUAGUACUGACACCCUUUCAACUGGGUCAGAGUUUAGAACCUAAUCAGCUUAUAAUGGGGCAUGUCGAUUAGAUGAUAUCUCCCACAGUCUCAGUUCAGUACUCAGUAUAGAAUUCAUUUUAUAUUGCUUGACCAAGGCAUACAUAUUAUCAGUUAUUCAGUUAUCAAGUUUCAAUAGUCUUACAAAUUAUUUCAGAAACAUUAUAUGGCUGA
rnacentral:lncRNA from 1 species